AAAUUGCUAAUCGAUCCUCCUGUAACACUUGCACUGGGUUAAAUGUCAAUCGUAUUGAUCAUUUAACCCUAGAACGAUUCUUAACCAUUGAUCAACCAUUCGAUCGGAUCAUGAACUCUAAUGUGUGUGACCUCAUUGGUCCGAACCUAAGUCGGUAGCAUAGAAAUAAAUUUCUGUACCAAUCGAAGUGACCAUCUGCAAUAGUACCCGACGAUCGGAUAGGUCGAAUGUGUAGAACAACAUCCUUAGAACCCAUGCGGAUAUAGUUUUUAUAUAAUUCAUUCUCUUGACCAAAAUGAU
rnacentral:lncRNA from 1 species